AUAGUAUAAAAAGUUACAAAGAGGGAACUUACAGCUAACCGGAUUCUGGCAAGCAUAAUACAAAGACAGAUAGCAGGUUAAUUAUUUACAUGGCUUAACAUUUCAAGGUAGGGAGUAAAUUGAGAUUCCAACAUCAGAAUUUCUGAGGGGCUGCUAAGGUUUUAGAGAGGGUUGUUAUCUGGUCAAAGAGAGCCAAGCAUGGGUGAGUUUAGAGCACAGGCAGGAAUUCUAAACAAGAUUAGUCCUCAGAGUAUAGUCAGGCCAAAUAGAUAUCUUAGUAAAACAGAAAUGAACUUUUUAUAACUUUGUGAUGAGAUGGCUCCCAAUCUUAGGAUAAAAUUAGGUUGGGUUCAGCGCUAAUGCCAAGAUCCAUUAUGCACUUUUUGAGUUGAGUUUUGUGCAGAGUGAGAGAUAGGGGUUUGAUUUCAUUUUACUACAUAUGGAUUUCCAGUUUAC
rnacentral:lncRNA from 1 species